GGAGACAUACUAGUUUGCAAUAGAAAAGUGAAGCAAAUAGGAUCAAAGAGUCAGGCCUUGGCUUUCAGCAGGCUAGACAGUGCAAUAAACACAAGUAAUAGGAAGAAUUGCAAUGGAGAGUGUGUAUGAAUAAGAGUUUGUGUGUGUUUCUGUAUCUUUCUAUAUAUGUUUUUGUGUUCGAAAGAAGUCUAAGUGGGGAACUAUAUAGCACUUAGAAGGGUAAAACAAACAAGGUAAAGAAUAAUCCAGAGUUCACAAAUAAGAUAUACAAAUAAAAUCAAUCAGUUAAUUGGGGCUAAACUAAAUCAAAUAACUCAAUUGAAUCCGGGAAAGACACUUUAAAAUAGGGAAAAUGAUUAAUAGCCUAGAUUGGGGUUUAAACAAGGCAAUAUAAUCAAUCAAACUCUAUCUUGGAGUCAGUUAAAGAAAUCAAAUCCCAUAAAUCUGGUUAAUAAACUAAUUAAGGCAGGUAGUACCAAUUAGAGGUCACAAAUAAGGAAAAUAGGUAAAAAUCACAAAGAAGUACCAAUCUCGGCAGAAAAAUAUAACUUGAACCCCAAUAAAAUUAGCAAUCUCUUUUAAUUGACAGAGGUAAAAAAACAAGCAAAUAACAGAA
rnacentral:lncRNA from 1 species